rnacentral:rRNA from 1 species
CGAAGCGUGCGAUUGGAUUGCACGUCUAAGCAGUAAGGCUGAGUAUUAGGCAAAUCCGGUACUCAUUAAGGCUGAGCUGUGAUGGGGAGAAGACAUUGUGUCUUCGAGUCGUUGAUUUCACACUGCCGAGAAAAGCCUCUAGAUAGAAAAUAGGUGCCCGUACCGCAAACCGACACAGGUAGUCAAGAUGAGAAUUCUAAGGUGAGCGAGCGAACUCUCGUUAAGGAACUCGGCAAAAUGACCCCGUAACUUCGGGAGAAGGGGUGCUCUUUAGGGUUAACGCCCAGAAGAGCCGCAGUGAAUAGGCCCAAGCGACUGUUUAUCAAAAACACAGGUCUCUGCUAAACCGUAAGGUGAUGUAU